rnacentral:rRNA from 1 species
CCUACGGGUGGCAGCAGUAGGGAAUAUUGCUCAAUGGGGGAAACCCUGAAGCAGCAACGCCGCGUGGAGGAUGACUGUUUUAUGAUUGUAAACUCCUUUUGUUAGAGGAGAUUAUGACGGUAUCUAACGAAUAAGCACGGGGUAACUCCGUGCCAGCAGCCGCGGUAACACGGAGGGUGCAAGCGUUACUCGGAAUCACUGGGCGUAAAGAGUGAGUAGGUGGGGUAAUAAGUAAGAUGUGAAAUCCUGUAGCUUAACCACAGAACUGCCUUUGAAACUGUUACUCUGGAGUGUGCGAGAGGUAGGUGGAAUGCUUGGUGUAGGGGUAAAAUCCGUAGAGAUCAAGAGGAAUACUCAUUGCGAAGGCGACCUGCUGGAACAUUACUGACGCUGAUGCACGAAAGCGUGGGUAGCAAACAGGAUUAGAUACCCUUGUAGUC